rnacentral:misc_RNA from 1 species
GAUGAAGAACGCAGCGAAAUGCGAUAAGUAGUGUGAAUUGCAGAAUUCAGUGAAUCAUCGAAUCUUUGAACGCACAUUGCGCCCGCCAGUAUUCUGGCGGGCAUGCCUGUUCGAGCGUCAUUACAACCCUCAGGCCCCCGGCCUGGCGUUGGGGAUCGGCAGAGCCCCCCGUGGGCACACGCCGUCCCCCAAAUACAGUGGCGGUCCCGCCGCAGCUUCCAUCGCGUAGUAGCUAACACCUCGCGACUGGAGAGCGGCGCGGCCACGCCGUAAAACACCCAACUCUUCUGAAGUUGACCUCGAAUCAGGUAGGAAUACCCGCUGAACUUAAGCAUAUCAAUAAGCGGAGGA